AAGGUUAAGCCUCACGGUUCAUUAGUACCGGUUAGCUCAACGCAUCGCUGCGCUUACACAUCCGGCCUAUCAACGUCGUCGUCUUCAACGUUCCUUCAGGACUCUCAAGGAGUCAGGGAGAACUCAUCUCGGGGCAAGUUUCGUGCUUAGAUGCUUUCAGCACUUAUCUCUUCCGCAUUUAGCUACCGGGCAGUGCCAUUGGCAUGACAACCCGAACACCAGUGAUGCGUCCACUCCGGUCCUCUCGUACUAGGAGCAGCCCCCCUCAGUUCUCCAGCGCCCACGGCAGAUAGGGACCGAACUGUCUCACGACGUUCUAAACCCAGCUCGCGUACCACUUUAAAUGGCGAACAGCCAUACCCUUGGGACCUACUUCAGCCCCAGGAUGUGAUGAGCCGACAUCGAGGUGCCAAACACCGCCGUCGAUAUGAACUCUUGGGCGGUAUCAGCCUGUUAUCCCCGGAGUACCUUUUAUCCGUUGAGCGAUGGCCCUUCCAUUCAGAACCACCGGAUCACUAUGACCUGCUUUCGCACCUGCUCGCGCCGUCACGCUCGCAGUCAAGCUGGCUUAUGCCAUUGCACUAACCUCCUGAUGUCCGACCAGGAUUAGCCAACCUUCGUGCUCCUCCGUUACUCUUUAGGAGGAGACCGCCCCAGUCAAACUACCCACCAGACACUGUCCGCAACCCGGAUUACGGGUCAACGUUAGAACAUCAAACAUUAAAGGGUGGUAUUUCAAGGUCGGCUCCAUGCAGACUGGCGUCCACACUUCAAAGCCUCCCACCUAUCCUACACAUCAAGGCUCAAUGUUCAGUGUCAAGCUAUAGUAAAGGUUCACGGGGUCUUUCCGUCUUGCCGCGGGUACACUGCAUCUUCACAGCGAGUUCAAUUUCACUGAGUCUCGGGUGGAGACAGCCUGGCCAUCAUUACGCCAUUCGUGCAGGUCGGAACUUACCCGACAAGGAAUUUCGCUACCUUAGGACCGUUAUAGUUACGGCCGCCGUUUACCGGGGCUUCGAUCAAGAGCUUCGCUUGCGCUAACCCCAUCAAUUAACCUUCCGGCACCGGGCAGGCGUCACACCGUAUACGUCCACUUUCGUGUUUGCACAGUGCUGUGUUUUUAAUAAACAGUUGCAGCCAGCUGGUAUCUUCGACUGAUUUCAGCUCCAUCCGCGAGGGACUUCACCUACAUAUCAGCGUGCCUUCUCCCGAAGUUACGGCACCAUUUUGCCUAGUUCCUUCACCCGAGUUCUCUCAAGCGCCUUGGUAUUCUCUACCUGACCACCUGUGUCGGUUUGGGGUACGAUUUGAUGUUACCUGAUGCUUAGAGGCUUUUCCUGGAAGCAGGGCAUUUGUUGCUUCAGCACCGUAGUGCCUCGUCAUCACGCCUCAGCCUUGAUUUUCCGGAUUUGCCUGGAAAACCAGCCUACACGCUUAAACCGGGACAACCGUCGCCCGGCCAACAUAGCCUUCUCCGUCCCCCCUUCGCAGUAACACCAAGUACAGGAAUAUUAACCUGUUUCCCAUCGACUACGCCUUUCGGCCUCGCCUUAGGGGUCGACUCACCCUGCCCCGAUUAACGUUGGACAGGAACCCUUGGUCUUCCGGCGAGCGGGCUUUUCACCCGCUUUAUCGUUACUUAUGUCAGCAUUCGCACUUCUGAUACCUCCAGCAUGCCUCACAGCACACCUUCGCAGGCUUACAGAACGCUCCCCUACCCAACAACGCAUAAGCGUCGCUGCCGCAGCUUCGGUGCAUGGUUUAGCCCCGUUACAUCUUCCGCGCAGGCCGACUCGACCAGUGAGCUAUUACGCUUUCUUUAAAUGAUGGCUGCUUCUAAGCCAACAUCCUGGCUGUCUGGGCCUUCCCACAUCGUUUCCCACUUAACCAUGACUUUGGGACCUUAGCUGGCGGUCUGGGUUGUUUCCCUCUUCACGACGGACGUUAGCACCCGCCGUGUGUCUCCCGUGAUAACAUUCUCCGGUAUUCGCAGUUUGCAUCGGGUUGGUAAGUCGGGAUGACCCCCUUGCCGAAACAGUGCUCUACCCCCGGAGAUGAAUUCACGAGGCGCUACCUAAAUAGCUUUUCGGGGAGAACCAGCUAUCUCCCGGUUUGAUUGGCCUUUCACCCCCAGCCACAAGUCAUCCGCUAAUUUUUCAACAUUAGUCGGUUCGGUCCUCCAGUUAGUGUUACCCAACCUUCAACCUGCCCAUGGCUAGAUCACCGGGUUUCGGGUCUAUACCCUGCAACUUAACGCCCAGUUAAGACUCGGUUUCCCUUCGGCUCCCCUAUUCGGUUAACCUUGCUACAGAAUAUAAGUCGCUGACCCAUUAUACAAAAGGUACGCAGUCACACGCCUAAGCGAGCUCCCACUGCUUGUACGUACACGGUUUCAGGUUCUUUUUCACUCCCCUCGCCGGGGUUCUUUUCGCCUUUCCCUCACGGUACUGGUUCACUAUCGGUCAGUCAGGAGUAUUUAGCCUUGGAGGAUGGUCCCCCCAUAUUCAGACAGGAUACCACGUGUCCCGCCCUACUCAUCGAGCUCACAGCAUGUGCAUUUUUGUGUACGGGGCUGUCACCCUGUAUCGCGCGCCUUUCCAGACGCUUCCACUAACACACAUACUGAUUCAGGCUCUGGGCUGCUCCCCGUUCGCUCGCCGCUACUGGGGGAAUCUCGGUUGAUUUCUUUUCCUCGGGGUACUUAGAUGUUUCAGUUCCCCCGGUUCGCCUCAUUAACCUAUGGAUUCAGUUAAUGAUAGUGUGUCGAAACACACUGGGUUUCCCCAUUCGGAAAUCGCCGGUUAUAACGGUUCAUAUCACCUUACCGACGCUUAUCGCAGAUUAGCACGUCCUUCAUCGCCUCUGACUGCCAGGGCAUCCACCGUGUACGCUUAGUCGCUUAA
rnacentral:rRNA from 1 species